CUCCCUGUUGUUUUAUCUCGCCGCCGCGGCCUCCUUCCACCACCGAAAGGUACGGCCGGCAGCGCACUGCUGCAUCCCACCGCCAGGUUCCUCCAUGCCCUCGGAUACUUCCCCCACCGCCACCUGCACAUCGCCACCAGCCCCCAUGUCGUCGCCCUCGGCCACCUACUACAUCGAGGCACCGUCGGGUUGCCACGGAUCUGAGCGUUGGCCUCCUCCGCCGCACCAGAUCCAUCCCCUCCAUGCUACUUCCUCCGUUGCCGGUACCAACCUGGCAUCCAACUGCCGCCACAAGUCGAAUGGACAGCGGAGAGUUCCGCUACCAACCUCCUUGCUUCGCGGGCAUGUUCUGCCCCCCAAGAUGAUUCUGCAAAAGUUUUGCAGAAAGUUUGAAUAGUUUUUUCCAGGAAGUUCAGAUAAGAUUAAAAGAUCAGAUGGGGGUUUUAGUACAUUUUUAGAGAAGUUGCUAAUUACUAGUAAUAGCUGCUGCUCGUGUUUCUUUGGUUGAACUGAAUGCUUGUAGAUGAAGAGAUCAAAUUAGGUCCUUGAUUAUUUGUGUACAUUGAAGUUGCUUGAGAAAAUUUUCCUACUAGCAUCAUACUUUAAUCUUCUGUUGGUUAGACAAAAACAUGACAGUGCUAUAAAAAAAUUCGGUAUCUACCAACAUGCUCACGAAAAAAGGCUAACAAGUUCAAACUAAACGACAGAGCAGUUGGAUGCUUAGUAAAAACAGAUUUUUUUUUUGUUUUCUAAGAAAGACAAAGAAGUUCAACUAAAUUUUCGUACAAAUGGUCAUUUGCAGGUUACCGAGCAUGUCGUUCUCUUCUCGUGCCCAUGCUGCAGUCCCUCUACUUUUUUGAAUUAGUUUGGUGAUGAUUUCUGCAGCUACAUACGCGACGCCGCCGUGACCUGCUGCACACCUGGGGUUGUAUCUAGCAACGUCUCGGGCAGUCAUGCUCGCUAGCGCACGGAGGUGCUACGCCUGUUAGUGCUACAAGCACACAACGUAAGGCUAUGGGAAAAUUAGAAAACAACAAAGCUUCCCUAUUCUUUCUCCACGUGCGACCUUCCCAGGCUCCUCUCUCUGACCUUCCGCCGAGCCUUUCCGGCAGCCACGCUUGGCGGCUUCCCUGGAACCUGCAGUUUGUGCUUGUACUAAUGCGCGAUUUAUUUGGCUUAAAAAAUUGUUUUUGCGAAGGUCAAGAUGUUGUGUUGCAGAAGGUCAAGUGUCGGUGUACAAAAGUAGGGGCUCUCCUUUUAACCCCUUUACUUGUGCACGGGCAGUCGGAGCCGCGCCCGCGACCAUACUUAACAGGGUAGAGGAGGGAAGCCAGAGAGAAGCCGGAGCACAAGACGGUCAAGGCAACGCCAAGACCAGAAACACCAAAGAGCAAGAGGGCGAGGUGGACUCCCCCGGCAAGGCCCUUGCCGGGGCAACUUGCCCAGUACCAGCAGAGCGAGCCACCCUCGAGCCCAAGAGUUCCAAACGCCGCCAACGACUACGUUGGAACCAAGGCUCGGGAGGCACCUCUGUGGUGGCAUGUAGAUCUUUGUCAAGAUCAUAAACACACGAGAUCAGAUGAGGACCAGAAGACGACGACCCUUGGCGGGAUCCUAGCCGAGGAAAUCCACAAGACCCCUGGCAAGAUCCUUGCCGGGGACGACCACGACGCCACGGCAAGACCCUUGCCGGGGCCCCGGCAAGACCCUUGCCGAGGACACCAGCGGGCCGCAACUAGGCCCACGUCUGCCAAGAUGCACCGCCGUCCCCAUGCAGCUGCUAGCUCAACCAGCUGGGUAGGCACCUGCGUGGCGACGGGCAGCCUCUACACCGACCCAACAAGCACCUGCGUGGUGGCAUGCAGAUCUUCGUGAAGGCUCCACCACCACGCCAGCCCAGCAGCCAGCCAACGUGGCGCAGCAGCGCCUCGUCAGCUCGGACGCGCGUCGGAACCAGACGAAGCGGCGACAGCUGGGACGUGCUUCCUUGCCAUCCCCGAUAAAGCGAGAGGGGCGCGUCGGCAGCGCAUUAAAUGCGUUUGUCCGACAAUGCCAGAGGAUAGACUCAUCUACUGUACACCUUUCCUAUAAAAGGAGGCCCGAGGCGACCAGGAGAGGGAUUCGGAUCUUUUGGGCAAGUCACGCCCGUAGCUAGCUCAAGAACACAAGAACACUCAAAUACAUCCACCAAAGCAGGACUAGGGUGUUACGCAUCUCCGCGGCCCGAACCUGGGUAAACGAUCUGUGUGCUUCCUGCCAGACCCGCUCUUUGGACGACCCUGCGCCCGCCAACCGUAGAAGGGAUCCCAGUGAUUCCAUAGGUGUCGAUUUCCCCCGACAUCUUUGGCACGCCAGGUAGGGGUGCGCAGUUGUGGAAAUCUGGUAUGGUCGGAGCAGCGGCUUCAUCAUGGCCGUCGUUCCAAGGAAGAAGACGACCAAGCUUGACGACACCAUCUGCAGAUGCGGUGGAUGCCCGUGCAACGACAGGAAAGCUAAGUCGUGCGAAACUUUAAACAAUUUCGUCUUAUAUAUAAGGUUAUCGUCCUCUAAGGUCCUGCCCUAUGUAUGGAAAACCUGCACGCAAAGGGGCCCUUUCGCUAUUGGCAACGCCCUUGCUCUGUUUCGAGUCCGCUCAACAGCGCAAGCGGCCGCGUCGAGAACGGCAGGGUAGCCUUUCGCGAUUGGCAACACUCUCGAUUCUGACUCGAGUCAAGCUCGACAGUUCGAGCGGCCGCGUUGAGAGCGGUAAUGUGGCUCGCCUGGUAGCAAGCACACCCGGCAGGCCACUGGGGAUCCGUCCUCAAGACGCCGCGGCCUGGGUUUACGCACCGGCAAGCCUACCCGAUUGACGUAGGGGGAACAUACAAAGGGGGGGUUGAACGGGAUAGUAACAUGCAUAAUAUUAAAAGUGCUGCAGAGUUAUAUUACAUCAAUUGUUGCUGCUGUUCUAACUAAAGAUAAAAUUUUGUCUUGGUCAUGAACCUGCAGCGGCGGUGAGAAACGGGGUGCCUAGUCCCGACGCUGGCCCUCUAUCCUCUGAAUUCCAUCGAUGCGGCUGAUGAUGGGCUCGAUAUGCUCCAUGAGCACCGUGAGAUUCGCAUCCUCCGGCAAGCUCUCCAGCGCGGCGUGGAAGUCGAGGUUGGGAUUCCAGUGCGCCACCUUGGUGAGGACCUUGGUCAUGGCACCCCGGCAAAGCCUCCGGGCCUCAUCGGCCAGAGAGGCCGCCUGGUUGGAGUGAAGAUGCUCCAGGGCUCCAAGAACACCCUCGAAGAAUAGGGUCAGCUUGGCGUUGGGGCUCACGUUGCGCUCCGGGGUGUACCUCACAUUUGGCAUCCCCAUGGUAGCCAGCUGUGUGGUGAUCCUGCCGGCGACGUCUUCGAGGCGGCCGAUCCAGCGGGUCUCGUCCUCCACAAAAUCCUUGUGGUUGGCGGCUUCGUUCUUCCGCUUCUGCUUCUCGGCCUCUAGAUCCUUGGCCAGGGUCUCCUCCCGGGCCUUGGCCUCUGAAAGCGUCUCCUCAAGACCCUCCAGCUUCCGCUUCAGGUCUUUGAUGGAGUCGUUGGCCUUGGAGAGCUGCUCAGCCUUGCCGAGGACUGCGCCCUGCGCCUUCACCAGGGCACCGUUGAGCGUAUCCAUCUCCUUGGCUAGCUUCAGGGCCUGAUCCUUCAGCCCGUCCCGCUCCACCUCCAGCUCCUUCACCUUGCCGGCGUGAACCAGAGCCUGGGCAUUGAGUGCCUCCUUGUGCCUCUGCUCCAGCUCCUGGGUCCGCUGCACGACGAGCUUCUCCACCUCCUCGUCCUUGCCGCAGAGCGUUGCGGCGAGCCUCUCCUCACACGCGGCAAGGUCCUCCUCCUGGGAGUUUAGCGUGGCCUGCUGCUGGUGCCGAGCGGCCUCGGCCUGGGCGGCCUGCUGCUCCGCCAGUUCUUGGGCCUUCUCGAUGUCGGCCUGCUUCAUGAUAAGCUCCAACUGGCGCUCGGCCAUCGCGUCUUGGGCGACCUUCAGGUCCUCGUGGGCCUGGGGAACCAAGCCUGCGCCUCGGCAACACGCCCCUCGAGGUCCGCCUCCGCCUUGUCCACCACCGCCAUCCUGGACUUGGCCUUGUCUAGGCGAGCACGGUGAAGCGCCCAGAGCUUCUGGAAGUUGGCGCCCAUGGCCUGGAGGAGACGCUCUUCCCGGGAACCGCCGCCACCGGCGCUUGGCUCAUCAACAACCUCAAGCCCGGCGGCGGCGAGCACUUCUUCAUCAAACACCCCCCUCGACGGGCGCGCCGGUGUUCGCCGUCCCUGGGAGGUGGACGAACAGGUCGUCGCUCACCCUCAGGUACCUGCCCGAGCCAGAGGCAGCGGAGGAGGAAGGUUGGUCGUCAACCACCUCCUCCUCGGCAGCGGCCUUGCCGGCCUCCCCGGCAGGCCCCUUGCUGGCCUCCUCGGCAGCAGCUUUGCCGGGCUCCCCGGCAGACCCCUUGGCGGCGUCCCCAGCAGCAUCCUUGGCGUCCUCCUCGGUGGCGAUCUUCUCGGCCUCCGCCGCGGCAUCCUUGGCGACAUCCUCGAUGACGGUGUCUAUGUCCUCCCGGUCCGUCGAGGGAGGGUCUGGAUAUCGAGAAGGGGAUGAGACGAAGCCAAGACAAAGAUUCAAAGAGAAAAAGAGCAAGGACGGAAGGCGAGUGACUCACCCGUGCCGGGCUGGGAAGCAGAGGCCCCCUCCCCGCCAACAUCUGGCGCCGAGGCGAAGUCACCAGCGCCCGAGUUUGCCUCCUCCUCCUCCAUGUGCAUGGGCUCGGUGCUUGGCGCCCUUGCCGGGGACGCCCCUCGGGGCAGCAUGGUCGAUGGGGGCAGCGUGUUGGGGGAAGCCCUCAGUGGCUCCUCCCGCUGCUGUCCACCUCCUGCAACCACGAUAAGGUCAGCGCCAAGGGAUCGUACCCCCAACGCACGUCGACGAGGGGUGAGUGAUGAGCUUACGCUGGGGGCUGUACCGGGGGCUGCUGUCCGGGCUGCUCAACACCACCAGCGGUGUACCGAAAGUACCUGCCGGGGGCUGGCCGCUCGCCGAAGCCCUGGCCCUCUUCACCCUCUGGUCCAGUGUCUCCGCAUCCCUGCAAAGAAGAAGAAUAGAUCAAGAUAAGCGACACAGAUUGAGGAGACGAAGAUGACAAAAAGAAACAGGAUACUUACUCAUCCUCCACCUCCUCUUCUGCUGCCUUCCUCUUCCUCCUCGGGCCGAGGGACCCAAAGUCGAAAAUGACCUCCGCGUCGAUGUCUGCCGGAGGAGGGGAAGAAGGUGGAGUCCGAACACGCUUGGACGAAGAGGCAGUUGCUUUCUUCUUCGCCACCGCGGCCUUCACCAACUUCCUCGCCGCCGCGGCCCUUGUCUGGCGUGCGCACCCCUCCUGGGUCUGCUGCGGUUGCGCAGCCCUGCCGGGCCGGACCGGCUCGCCGGAGCUGGCCCACCGCAGGACUCGCCCUCUCCCCGUGGCUGGGGGAUCGACAGCCUCGGCGUCCUCCUCCGACGACUUGUCGACCACAUCCUCGAUGAGAGGAGCCCCGGUGUUGGCGCUGCUGGCCUCCCCAGCAGGCUCCGCCCACUAGGCAAGCUCCUUUUCCUCCGCGGCCGCCGCGGCCUUGUCCUCCACGCCGCCGGCGCUGCCGGCCUCCUUGGCGAGCUCCGCCUCCGCCGCCCUAGCGGCGAUGUAGUCCAGCUCCACCUGGGUGCUGUCCUGGACGAGCCACGGUUCGGCGCGGACGUACUUCUCCUCCAAGGUGUCAAGAAACUCCUGCACCUGAUCCGCCGGCGGCUCGGCCCAAGUUGGGACGAGGCCAUGCGCGUUGAACUCCGGCAUCAUGGCGAUGAUGUCGUUUCGGUGCGAGUUGUUGCUCAGCGGGACCACCCCCGCCGGCAACCAAAACAAGGGCCCCUUGGCGACCUUGCCGGCCUUCGCGGCCUUGCCGGACCGCUCGACCUUGCCGUCGCGGUUCACGUCGAGCUGGAAGAGCCGCUGGCAGAAGUGGGCAUGCCCCAUCACCGUGAGGUUGUGGUCGAGGCUGGGGUGAAGCCUCAUGAUGUCGGCCGCAUUCGUGAAGAGCUAGACCGGCCUCCCCUUGUUGUGCAGCGGAGCGAUUCGGCGGCGGGUGAAAUCCGCCCCGAUCAUCUCAAGGGUGAGCCCGGCCUCGGUGAGACGAAGGAUCCUGGUGGUGGCGACCGUGAGCUUCUUGUCAUUGACGUCGACAUCACUCUAGUCGUUUCUGCGGAUCGGCGGCGCGUGGCGGACCCGGCAAAAGUCCCGCGGAUCCUUCUCUUCAAUCCAGCACCACCGGCCCUGCCACUCCUCCCACCUCUCCUUCUGGGCACCUUCCGUAUAUGUCUUUUUCUCCUAGGUCCUUGGGAUCCAGGCGACACAACCGAAAAUGGUGCCCCCCUUUUGGAUGCGAGGGAAGAAGUAGUGGCGGAAGAGCGCUGUGUUGGGAUGCACUCCGGCGAAGCCCUCACAGAGAUGAGCGAAAAGGGCCAUGCACGCCACAUCAUUCGGAGUAAAAUCCAGAAGGCGGAAGCCAUAGGUAUGCAUGACAUCGUUGAAGAAAUCGAAGAAAGGGGGACAGAGCCCGUAGGAGAAGCAAUGGACGAAAAAUGGGUACCGAUUCAGGCCGGCUUCGGCGAAGGCGGCGGGGAUGACGCGCGUGGCCGGAUGCCCCGUCGCCUCGCUCCCCGUCUUGCACCCCCACAGGUGCUUGAAGUAGUCCCGGAGUUCGAUCGCGUCGACCGUCGACGGAAAGUAGGCGUGCUGCGUCCGCCGCACCACCAACUCGCUCUCCGGCGGCUCCUUCUCCCCGGCGUCCUUGGACACCCCUUCCUCUGCUGGUUUUGGGCGCCAUGGCGGUUGAGGAAGACGAAGGCGCGUUGGCGGCGAGCGGGAGCAAAAGCUUGAGGUGGAGGAAGAAGGGGAUGACGUUUCCAAGAUUGGAGAAGGCGCAGGGGGUAAAUGAGCAGCGCGCCCGCGGUUAUUCCUUUUUACGGGGAAGGCAUGGGCCACCUCUUUCCCCAUUAACCACGAUGUGACGCAUGUGUGUAGCAACCGCCCCACGCAUGACCCCCACGUCAUACACGACCCUCCACGUCGCGCGGGUCAUGGGGAAGCGCAGUGGCCGAAAAAGUUACUACGGUAAAAUCCGCCCCACCUGCUCGCGCACCGUUCUGGGCCUAGCCCAACAACGCGUCGCGCUUAUGUAUGGCCCAGGCCCGGGGGCUCCUGUCGGUGUACAAAAGUAGGGGCUCUCCUUUUAACCCCUUUACUUGUGCACGGGCAGUCGGAGCUGCGCCCGCGACCACACUUAACAGGGCACAGGAGGGAAGCCGGAGAGAAGCCGGAGCACAAGACGGUCAAGGCAACGCCAAGACCAGAAACACCAAAGAGCAAGAGGGCGAGGUGGACUCCCCCGGCAAGGCCCUUGCCGGGGCAGCCUCCGCAGCCCCGGCAAGAGCCUUGCCGGGGCAACUUGCCCAGUACCAGCAGCGAGCCACCCUCGAGCCCAAGAGUUCCAAACGCUGCCAAUGACUACGUUGGAACCAAGGCUCGGGAGGCACCUCUGUGGUGGCAUGCAGAUCUUUGUCAAGAUCAUAAACACAUGAGAUCAGAUGAGGACCAGAAGACGAUGACCCUCGGCGGGAUCCUAGCCGAGGAAAUCCACAAGACCGCCGGCAAGAUCCUUGCCGGGGACGACCACGACGCCACGGCAAGACCCUUGCCGAGGACACCAGUGGGGCCGCAGCCAGGCUCACGUCUGCCAAGAUGCCACCGCCGUCCCCAUGCAUCUGCUAGCUCAACCAGCUGGGCAGGCACCUGCGUGGCGACGGGCAGCCUCUACACCGACCCAGCAAGCACCUGCGUGGUGGCAUGCAUAUCUUCGUGAAGGCUCCACCACCGCUCCAGCCCAGCAGCCAGCCAACGUGGCGCAGCAGCACCUCGUCAGCUCGGACGCGCGUCGGAACCAGACGAAGCGGCGACAGCUGGGACGUGCUUCGUUGUCGUCCCCGAUAAAGCGAGAGGGGUGCAUCGGCAGCGCAUUAAAUGCAUUUGUCCGACGGUGCCAGAGGAUAGACUCAUCUACUGUACACCUUUCCACCUCCUGUGUGCCACUAUGGCAGCCCCUUUUCCUAUAAAAGGAGGCCCGAGGCGACCAGGAGAAGGAUUCAGAUCUUUUGGGCAAGUCACGCCCGUAGCUAGCUCAAGAACACUCAAAUACAUCCACCAAAGCAGGACUAGGGUAUUACGCAUCUCCGCGGCCCGAACCUGGGUAAACGAUCUGUGUGCUUCCUGCCAGACCCGCUCUUUGCACGACCCCGCGCCCGCCAACCGUAGAAGGGAUCCCAGUGAUUCCAUAGGUGUCGAUUUCCCCCGACAUCAAGUGUGUAUUGUAUAUGUGUGUGUGUAUGUGUGUUUUUAAAAAUGCAUACCUUCAUUGCAAAACAGUAUGUUCAUUCUUUGAUUUGAGGAUGGUUUGCCGUGCAAAAGGACUGCAAAAGAAAUUUCGAUUUCCUUUAUAGUGUUGUGUUUUUAUUAGAAGAAAAGAAAAGAGAAGUUCAGUUUCUAACGAUGACGUGGUUCACGUGCAAACCAAUUGAAAAAAUGUACAGGUUCGCCUUCCAAAAUGUCCAACAUUUCUUGUGGAAAAAAUUUCACUCUAUUUUUUGAACUCUACGUGAGAACUUUAUGCUCUUUCAGAUGUGUGCAUUCGUAUUUGUGUAAAUGCGUGUAGCACACGAAGUGUAUGUGUAUUGUUGUGUGUAAUUUUCUUGAAUUAUAAUAGCAUGUGAAGUUCAUGUUUCAGAAAUUCAUAAGUUCACGUGCACCACAUACUGAAGAAAUUCAUCAAUGAAAAAAAGGAGUGCUUAGGCCCUUUCAUCGACAGCAAAAAAUGCCUAAAAAUGUUGCGAGACAAAAAAACUGCAUAAGAUAUAACAUAGUAAGUUCGUAGAAAGGGUGAAAAACAUAAUUUUGUUUUGUAAGUUUAACAAUUUCUAAAACACACCUUGACGUUCAAAUUUAAAAAAUAGGUUGCUUCAAUGUUUAUUACAAACCUGUAACUUUCCCUGGUACCGUAGAAUAAACCAAGAAGUUCAAAAAUAAAAAACGGAGCAGUUCAAAAAGUUAAUAAAAAAAUGGUGUUUCUACAUUUUAGUAAAAAAAUGGAGAAGUUCAAAUUUAAAUAACAUAGAAGUUCAAAACUUUUAUUCCAAAACCAAGAAAGUCAAAUGAAAAAACCCGAGUAGUUUAAAAGGUUUGUAAACAUGGAUGUGCCCUUGUACUUUUUAAGAUCUAGAAGUUCAAAUUUAAAUAAGUGAGCGGUUCGAUGUUUAUUACAUAACUAGGACUUUUCCCUAUACUAAUGAAUGACACCAAGAAGUCCUAAUUAAAAAGAAUGAAGUUGUUUGAUGUUUAUAAAAAUCUUAGAUUUUUCCCGAUACUAAAGAUUAAAACCAUGAAGUUCAAUUUUAAAAAAGGAGUAGUUCAAUGCAUAUUAAUUACUUAGUUUUUUCUCGUUACUAAAUAAUAAAACCAAGAAGUUCAAUUUUUAAAAGUAGAGCAGUUUGAUAUUUAUUUGUAAACUCAGUUUUUUCCGGUUACUAAAGAACAAGACCAAUAAGUUCUAUUCGAAAUAACGAAGAAGUUCGAUGUUUGUAACAAAACUGCAAUUUUCACAUUUCUAGAAAACACACAAAGAAGUUCAAAUAAAAAAAUUAGAGCGGUUUGAUGUCUGUAAAAAACUCAGAUUUUUUUCCGUUACUAAAGUGAAAUAGACAGAAGUUCAAAGUGAUAACAACCAGAAGUUCACGUACUGCAUGGUGUGUGUUUCAUACGAGAACAAAGAGUAAAAAGAUGAAGUCUAAAUUUGUUGUUGCUAGAAGUUCAAGUGCUCUUCCGUCGAAAGUUCAAAAAUUCUUGAGAGAGAGGUUCACCGCAUAUUUCCAUGUUCGAAAACACAAAAAAGAAUUUUUUUUGUGUUUUAAAAUAAUUCCCUCAAUCCACAAAGAAGUUCAGUUAUUAUUUGAUAGCAACUUGAUUUCAAAAAAGAAAAUAAAAAAUUCAAAUUAUAAAAAUGGAAAAAGUUCAUGUACUACAUGGUGUGUGUUUAAUAUGAGAAAAAUGAAUAAAAGGCAAGGUUUUCCUCGUUAUUAAAGAAUGGAAACAAGAAGUUCAAAAAUUAAAUAAUAAAGAAGUUCAACUUUUAAUAAUAGAGAGCUUCAAAAUUUCAUAAAAAGAUUAAGAAAUAAAACCAGGAAGUCGAUAUUAAAAAGAUGGAGAAGUUUGAUGAUUAUAGAAAACUCAGAUUUUCCUCGUUAUUAAAGAAUGGAAACAAGAAGUUCAAAAAUUAAAUAACAAGAAGUUCAACUUUUAAUAAUAGAGCGCUUCAAAAUUUCAUAAAAAAGAUUAAGAAAUAAAACCAGGAAGUCCAUAUUAAAAAGAUGGAGAAGUUCGAUGAUUAUAGAAAACUCAGAUUUUCCUCGUUAUUAAAGAAUGGAAAAAAGAAGUUCAAAAAUUAAAUAACAAGAAGUUCAACUUUUAAUAAUAGAGCGCUUCAAAUUUUCAUAAAAAAGGAUUAAGAAAUUCAGAUUAAUAUUCAUAAAAAACUCAGAUAUUUUCAUGUAACCGAGAGAAGUUCAGAUUGAUAACUGCCAGAAGUUCACGUACUACACGGUGUGCAUUUUGUAUUAAAGAAAGAAUACAAAAGCAAAGACUAUUGUUAUAAGUUCAAGUCCUCCGUCGGAGAAAAUUAGAAAAAUUAUUGUGGGAGUCAUUUGUACAAAUGAAAUAUCAUUUGUGUAACACUAACGAAUGGAUGAGAACGAAAAUACAUCACAGAAGUUCAACGUGAAAACAGCAGGAAGUUCAACUACUACAGUGAAUGAAUUUUAGAUGAAUUUUUUUAAAAUCAUCGCGAGUAUGAAAAACCGAUCAAUAAGGGAAAGUUGUGUGUUUACAGCAGCUUUCCACCAGUAUAUCACUUGCUCAAUUCCGGUGAGUGUUCCAGUGAGUGGAUGGAGAGCUACAAGCAAAAAAAGCACGUGAAAAACAGAGUGAAGUUCAAGUAAACAUGCCGAGAAGUUCAAGUUCUUCACGCGGUGCAUUUUUGAAGAAUCUGUUUCGUGAUAAAGGCAGAACGAAUGAUCCUGCCAUUUUCGAAAUUACUUGAAAACAGCUAGGAAUAAGAGAAAAAGUUUCGCAUUUUUCGUAGCUUUUCAACGGUAUAUUAUUUGCCCCAUUUCGAUAAAAGUUGUACAAAUUACAGCAAAAAUACAUUUUUAGACAUUUUCAAAAUUGACAUAAAAUCGUAAUGAAUUGGGAGAAAUAAUAUAUAUGAAAAAGUUUCGCAUUUCCUCAAGAUUUCCAACGCCAUACCAUUUGCUGCAUUCAGACGUAAGGUUAAAAAAUUAGCUCGAAAAUACGAACUCAGUGGCACUUGUACCGUUUUCUAAAUUACUUUUAAACCGUUCAAAAUUAGAAAAAACUUUCUACAAGAGAAAGUAGCGCAUUUUCAUAAGCUUUCCAACGCCAUAUCAUUUGCCUCAAUUGGAUUAGCCGUUUAGAAAUGAUAUAAAAAAUACGAACUCAGCUGUUCGGUUUGCGAAAUUUUACGAUUUUCCAAAUUACUCUUUAAUUUUACUGCCUGAAUUGUUCGACCUGAACUUCCCCUAGUGCAAGGUUGAACUUCCGUAAACAUUGCCCAAAUGGGGCUUUCGAUAUAUGUUGGAAAGCUAUGGACACGAGUAUCAUGACCCAAAUUAAAUUUUUGGCAAAAUUUAAGCGGUUUAAGAGCUGUUUUGAAAAUCGUUUUUUGUUCAUACAAAAAACAUGAAUCGUAUUUUCAAUCGCAUAUCAAAACCUCGGAAUGAGGUAAAUAAUAUGGCAUUGGAAUGCUGCUGCAAAACCGCUCCUUCCACGUGUUGAAAGUUUUCUCUAAUUCCCUACAGUUAAAGAGUAAUUUGGAAAAUCGUAAAAUUUUGCAAACCGAACAGCCGAGUUCGUAUUUUUGAUGUCAUUUCUAAACAGCUAAUCCAAUUGACGCAAAUGAUAUGGUGUUGGAAAUCUUAUGAAAAUGCGCUUCUUUUUCAUGUUUAAAGUUUUUCUAAUUUUGAACGGUUUAAAAGUAAUUUAGAAAAUGGUCCAAGUUGCACCGAGUUCGUAUUUUCGAGCUAAUUUUUUAACUGUAGAUCUGAUGUAGCAAAUGAUAUGGCGUUGGAAAGAUUGAGAAAAUGCGGAACUUUUUGGUAUAUAUUGUUUCUCCCAAUUUCUUACUGUUUUAAGUCAAUUUUGAAAAUGGCUAAAAACGUAUUUUUGCCAUAAUUUCUACAAACAUUAUCGUAAUGGGGCAAAUAAUAUACCGUUGAAAAGCUAAGAAAAAUGCAAAACUUUUUCAUGUCGAAGGUUUUCUCUUAUUCGUAGCCGUUUUCAAGUAAUUUUGAAAACGACAAGAUCAUUUGUUCUGGCUUUAUCGCGAAACAGAUUCUUCGAAAAUGCACCACGUGAACAACCUGAACUUCUCGGCAUGUGUACUUGAACUUCACUCUGUUUUCACGUGCUUUUUUUGAGCUCUCCAUCCACUCACCGGAAUUGAGCAAGUGAUAUACCGGUGGAAAGCUGCUGUAAACACGCAACUUUCUUGUGUUGAUCGUUUUUUCAUACUCGCGAUGAUUGUGAAAGUUUUUCAUCUGAAAUUCAUUCACUGUAGUAGUUGAACUUGCCGCUGUUUUCACGUUGAACUUCCGUGACGUAUUUUCGUUUGUAAUUUUUUUAUCCAUUCGUCAGUGUUACACAAAUGAUAUUCCUUUUGUACAAACCUCUCUCACAAUAUUUUUUAACUUUCUCCAACCGAGGACUUGAACUUAUAACAACAACAAAAUUGGACCUUGCCUUUUAAUUCAUUUUUAUCAUAUUAAACGCACACCAUGUAGUACAUGAACUUUUUCCAUUUUUAUAAUUUGAAUUUUUUAUUUUCUUUUUGAAAUCAAAUUGCUCCCAAAUGAUAACUGAACUUCUUUGUGGAUUGAGAGAAUUAUUUUGAAAUGCAAAAAACAAUUUUUUCGAACAUGGAAAUACAAGGUGAACCUCUCUCGCAAGAAUUUUCAAACUUCCCGGGAAAGAGCACUUUAACUUCUUUCAAUAAACCUUUUAAGCUUUUAUUUUUCUAUACUUUUAUUCUCACUUGAAAUGCAUUCCUUGCAGUAGUUGAACUUCUCGUUGUUUUCAUCUUGAACUUCGGUCACAUAUUUUUGUUCAACCUCUCUCACAAAUUUUUUUGAACUUUCUCGGGCCGAGCACUUGAACUUCUAUCAACAAAACUUUAGGCUUUGCAUUUUCGUUCUUUUUUAAUACAAAAUGCACACCGUGCAGUACGUGAACUUCUUGCAGUUAUCAAUCUAAAUUUCUAAGAUCAUGCAUUCUGCCUUCAUCGCGAAAACAGAGUCUCUGAAAAUGCACUGUGUGAAGAGGUUGAACUUCUGGAGCAGUUCUGUUUGAACUUCACUAUGUUUUUCACGUUCUGUUUUUUGCUCGUAACUCCCUAACCACUUAUCAGAAUUUAGAAAAUGAUAUACCGAUUGAAAGUUUUUGAAAACACGCAAUUUUCGCGUGUUGAUCAUAUUUUCAUAGUCGCAACGGUUAAUUUUUUUUGAAUACAUAAAAACAUGUUUUAAUUGGUAUACAUGAAACUUUUAAACUGUACAUCAGAAUAUAUCAUAUAAAAUAAUGUUGGAAAGUGUAUGAAUAUGAGCAACUUUUUCAUGUAGAUAGGUGUUACAAAUUCGUUGCCUUUUGAGAGCAAUUUUAAAAAUGGCAAACACGAUGUCUUUUUUGCCUCUCUUUUUUAACAUGUAAUUGAAGGUCGGAGUGUCGUAAUAUAAUUUUUGAACCGUGCACGAUGAGCAUGUGAACUUUUUACAAUAAACCUUUUAAGAGCAACUCUAGCAGACCUCACAAAACGCCCCGGCCCAGAAAAUAACCGCCAAAUUGCGGGCCGGGGCCAGAAAAUCUGCACGAUCAGAUCCCGCAUCCCGCCCCGGCCCGCAAAUUUUUUUGCGGGGCGCGGCAAAGCUUCUCCCCCAACGUCUAUCUUCACGGGCUGGGAGGCCGACCCGAGCUCAACCCCUAUCCGGCGCGAGAUUUGGCGGGAGGGACUACAAACACGUUUUUGCGCGAACUGCAAAUGCGUUUUGCGGGCCGGCGGGAUGCGGGGUCUGCUAGAGUUGCUCUAAGCUUUUAGUUUUUCUAAUCUUUUUACUCUCGCCUGAAACGCAUUCCGUAUAGUAGUUGAACUGCUCACUGUUUUCACGUUGAACUUCGGCCACAUAUUCUUCGACUUUUUUUAUUAAAUAAGCAUCAAACAUUUUUUCUAAAUUGAACUUCAUACUCUUAUUUUUUUUCUAGAAACGGGAUGAAUUUGAGUUUUCUGUAUAUAUCAAACUACUCCUUUAUUUUAAUUUGAACUUCUUCAUUUUAUUCUUUAGUAACACGAAAAACAUGAGUUUUUUUAAAUAUUGAACUUCUCUAUUUUUGUAUUUUGGACUUCUUGGUUUAUUUCUUUUACUAACAGAAAUAUCCUAGUUUUGUAAUAAAUAUUUGAACCGCUCUGUUAUUUAGAUUUGAACUGAUUCAUUAUUCUUUAGUAAAGAGGAAAUAUCUAAGUCUUUUUUAUAUACUUCGAACUUCUCUGUUAUUUUAAUUUGAACUUCCUAGGUUUAUUCUUAGAAAAAAACUAUGUUUUUAAAUAUGCAUCAAACAAAUUUUUUAAAAAAUUGACCUUCAUACUUUUAUUUUUCCUAGGAAUGGAAAGAAUUUGAGUUUUCGUAUACAUCGAACUACUCCUUCAUUUUAAUUUGAACUUUUUCAUUUUAUUCUUUAGUAACGAGAAAAAAAAUCUGAGUUUUUAAUAUACUUCGAACUUCUGUGUUAAUUUAAUAUGAACUUCUUAGUGUUAUUCUUAGAAAAAAUAAGUAAGCAUCAAGCACUUUUUAAAAAAUUGGACUUCAUACUUUUAUUUUCCCUAGAAACAGAAAUAAUUUGAUUUUUCCGUAUACAUCGGACUACUCCUUUACUUUAAUUUCAACUUCUUCAUUUUUAUUCUUUUGUAAUAAGGAAAAUCUUAUUUUCUUUAUAAAUAUUGAACUUCUCUAUUUUAGUAAUUUGGACUUCUUGGUUUAAUUCUUUUAGUAACGAAAAUAUCCUAUUUUUUUAAUAAAUAUUGGACCGUUUGUUAUUUAAAUUUGAACUUUUAGAUUUUUUUAUUUUAGAAACAAUGAAAGUUAUUUUUUAUGAUUUUUGAACUUCUCUAUUUUUAAUAUUUUAAAUUCUCUUUUUUAUUUUUACAAACGGUGAAAUAUCCGCUUUUAAGUGCUCUUUUAUUUUUGAACUGAUGUGUUAUUUUUGUUUGAACUUCCUAUAAUCUUCUUGUAAGCGGAUUUUGAUUUUCCGACUUCUAUACAUCGAACAACUGCAUUAUUAUUUUUUGAACUUCUUGUUUCUGUUCUUUAAUGACAAGGAAAUAUGCAUUUUGUAUAAUCAUCGAACUGCUCCCCUUUUUAAUUUGGACUUCUUGCGUUAUUUAUUUUAAUAACGAAAAAGUCCAAGUUGCUUUAUUAAACAUCGAGCGACUCCGUUUUUUAAAUUUGAAUCUCUACUUUUUUAAAUCUUUUUAGGUACAUUUUUCACCUUUUUCCUUUUUAGGUACAUUUUUCAUUGACGGGUUUGAUUUUUUUCUAACCUCCCGAAUUCAGAUUAUUAUAUGCAUGAACUUUUCUGGAGGACAAUACUUGAACAAUAUUUUUAAUUAUCAUUAUGUUGCGUCUGAAGCUUUGCAUUUUUGCUCCUCAAGGACCGACCUUAUAAGCAUCAAGUAUUAGAGAACAUGUACUUUUCAAUACAACUUUUUCAGAAAUGCAUCUUUUUUCUCUAUGUGAACUUCAACUUUUUUUGUAUGUGAACUUCAUUGUGAAUUUACAUUUAUUUCUACACACAAAUUGCAUACACGAACUUUUUUAUUCUUUUACAUGUUCCACACUUUUCCAUUUCUUAUAUUUGAACUUCUUUCUCUUAUAUACAUAAAUAGAAAAUAUAACCACCCACUUUUUGCACUAUCGUACACACAGAACGCACGUGCCCGUUCACACUGUUGUCGAAAGUAUAACAUCAAGUAGGUAGAUGGCAUCAACUCAUACACAGUUUGUCCCCUGCACCUCGUGUAUGACCUUCUCCCCUGCCACAUGGUGACCUUCUUCCUUCCUCUAUUCACAUGGGUAGGGAACAGUAGAGCGGCACGGAGGAUCCUGGAGACACAAACUUUUGAGCAAAACUGAGAGAGAAAAAACACCAUAUAGUAUGGGACUACUCCUACUUAACUAAAUACAGAAGGCUCCAGCCACAACAUGGUUGAAAUACCAUAAACAUAUAUGAUUUUAAAAUAAUUCAUACAUGUUGUUCUAUGAAUUAGUUCAUGUGUGCAUGGAAAUUAUUUUAAAAGAAGAGAAUAUGCCAUUGUGCUAAUCUAGAAUCAAAAUUAUGUGUGAAAACAAUAACAGGUGCAAGUACCAAGGAAAGAUGAUUUUUGCACUUGCUUUAAGUGAACUUGACUACCAAACAGAGAACUGUCAAUCUACAUCAAGACUAUGGAAGCACAUCAAUAACAACAAUCCUAACAAGUACAACCUUGCAAACAAAUUAUAUCCACAACAUCACAAAGCCUCCAAGAUAUUUUGCAAAACUGAAACAUAACAAGGAAGUGAUCGAUUACCUGUCGUAGGGAUCUGGCUUGAUCCAGGCCAGGGUGGAAGAACGCAUGGUAAGUGAAUGGUAUUGGUUUUGAAGCGAAAAGCUCCUAAUCACCUUGCCUUGGUAAAUGUCCAUGGCGACGAUGUGCUUCUGCUCGCCGACGGUGACGUACAUGACGUACAUCAGGUGUUGAGUGUGUUGAUGACGUCCAUCUGCUAUCCAUGGCUCGAUGUACAACACACACACACACAAACACAAUGAGCCUAUCCAUCCGCUGCAUUUCCACAAAUGAUGCUGCAUCUAAUCUCAACUGAUUAUGUGGUGCCGCUAUAUCAAUCAAAAAGUAAGAUGUUUUCAGGAUGUGUGCACACUGCACGCACAUCUCGCCAUGACAGUGGAAGAUGAGUUGCACUAGCAUUAAUCAAGUUGGCCUGCUGAAAAUCAACACAAUGGACUGCAGCCAUACUAAUUACUCUAGAAAAUGAUCAAGAACAAUGGACCGUGUGCAGCCAUACUAAUUUCUUUUUUGUGGCAUAAACACAAGCAGUAGAUGCAUACUUUUUAAGACAACGAAAUGCAUCACGGUAGAAUGACAGAAGAGAUUCUGAACCGAAUCAAUAUGUGUCUAAUAAGAAAUACUCAAAGAAAGCAGUGGCAUACUGCAUUGCAUUAGUGUGUCUAAUAGGAAGUUAACCGAAGUUCAAAUAUUUCAUUGGACAAGGUUCAUCUACUUUCGGGCAUCAUGUCAAAGAGUUAGUGCUACCUCUUGAGCACUGCGUUGGUUUUCCCUUGAAGAGGAAAGGGUGAUGCAGUAAAGUAGCGUAAGUAUUUCCCUCAGUUUUUGAGAACCAAGGUAUCAAUCCAGUAGGAGAUCACGCUCAAGUCCCACACACCUACACAAACAAAUAGGAACCUUGCAACCAACGCGAUAAAGGGGUUGUCAAUCCCUUCACGGCCACAUGGAAAAGUGAGAUCUGAUAGAGAUGAUAAGAUAAUAUUUUUGGUAUUUUUAUGAUAAAGAAUAAAAGUAAAUAAAGCAAAAUAAGCGGUAAUAGAAAUAGCUUGUUGACGGGAGAUUAAUAUGAUGGAAAAUAGACCCGGGGGCCAUAGAUUUCACUAGUGGCUUCUCUCAAGAUAGCAUAAGUAUUACGGUGGGUAAACAAAUUACUGUCGAGCAAUUGAUAGAAUUGAGCAUAGUUAUGAGAAUAUCUAGGUAUGAUCAUGUAUAUAGGCAUCACGUCCGUGACAAGUAGACCGACUCCUGCCUGCAUCUACUACUAUUACUCCACACAUCGACCGCUAUCCAGCAUAAGAAUGGAGUAACGCUUUAAGCAAGAUGACAUGAUGUAGAGGGAUAAACUCAUGCAAUAUGAUAUAAACCCCAUCUUUUUAUCCUCGAUGGCAACAAUACAAUACGUGUCGUUUCCCCUACUGUCACUGGGAUCAAGCACCGCAAGAUUGAAACCAAAGCUAAGAACUUCUCCCAUUCCAAGAAAGAUCAAUCUAGUAGGCCAAACCAAACUGAUAAUUCGAAGAGACUUGCAAAGAUAACCAAUCAUACAUAAAAGAAUUCAGAGGAGAUUCAAAUAUUGUUCAUAGAUAAUCUUGAUCAUAAACCCACAAUUCAUCAGAUCUCGACAAACACACCGCAAAAGAAGAUUACAUCGAAUAGAUCUCUAAGAGAAUCGAGGAGAACUUUGUAUUGAGAUCCAAAAAGAGAGAGAAGCCAUCUAGCUAAUAACUAUGGACCCGAAGGUCUGAGGUAAACUACUCACACAUCAUCGGAGAGGCUAUGGUGUUGAUGUAGAAGCCCUCCAUGAUCGAUGCCCCCUCCGGUGGGGCGCCGGAAAAGGCCCCAAGAUGGGAUCUCACGGGUACAAAAGGUUGCGGCGGUGGAAAUAGGGUUUUGGCUCCGUCCCUGAUAUUUUCGGGGUACGUAGGUAUAUAUAUAGGAGGAAGAAGUAGGUCGGUGGAGCUACGAGGGGCCCACGAGGGUGGGGGGCACGCCCAGUGGGGCAUGCGCGCCUCCCUGCCUCGUGGCCUCCUCGUUGAUUGCUUGACGUCCACUCCAAGUCCUCUGGAUCACGUUUGUUUCGAAAAUCACGUUCCCGAAGGUUUCAUUCCGUUUGGACUCCGUUUGAUAUCCUUUUCCUUUGAAACACUAAAAUAGGAAAAAAAACCAGCAAUUUGGGCUGGGCCUCCGGUUAAUAGGUUAGUCCCAAAAAUAAUAUAAAAGUGUAUAAUAAAGCCCAUUAAACGUCCAAAACAGAAUAUAUAAUAGCAUGGAACAAUCAAAAAUUAUAGAUACGUUGGAGAGGUAUCAAGCACCUGCUCGUCCUCGAGUAGGUAAAUGAUAAAAACAGAUUUUUUGAUGUGGAAUGCUACUUAGCAUAAUUUUCAAUGUAAUUCUCUCAAUUGUGGCCUGAAUAUUCAGAUCCGAAAGAUUCAAGAUAAAAUUUUAAUAUUGACAUAGAAGUAAUAAUACUUCAAGCAUACUAACUAAGGAAUUAUGUCUUCUCAAAAUAACAUGGCCAAAGAAAGUUCAUCCCUACAAAAUCAUAUAGUUUGGUCAUGCUCCAUUUUCGUCACACAAGAAUGCUCUCAUCAUGCACAACCCCGAUGACAAGCCAAGCAAUUAUUUCAUACUUUAGUAAUCUCAAACUUUUUCAACUUUCACGCAAUAUAUGAGCGUGAGCUAUGGAUAUAGCACUAUGGGUGGAAUAGAAUAUGAUGAUGGGGGGUUAUGCAGAGAAGACAAAAAAGGAUAAAGUCUCACAUUGACACGGCUAAUCAACGGGCUAGGGAGAUGCCCAUCAAUUGAUGUCAAUGCAAGGAGUAGGGAUUGCCAUGCAACGGAUGCACUAGAGCUAUAAAUAUAUGAAAGCUCAACAAAAGAAACUAAGUGGGUGUGCAUCCAACUUGCUGGCUCACGAAGACCUAGGGCAUUUGAGGAAGCCCAUUGUUGGAAUAUACAAGCCAAGUUCUAUAAUGAAAAAUUCCCACUAGUAUGAAGUGACAAAAUAAAAAACUCUCUAUUAUAAAGAUCAUGGUGCUACUUUGAAGCACAAGUGUGGAAAAAGGAUAGUAGCAUUGCCCCUUUUAAUUUUCUUUUCUUUUUUCCUUUUUUUUCUCCUUUUUUUGGGACAAUGCUCUACGAAUGAUGAUCAUCACACUUCUAUUUAUUUACAACUCAAUGAUUACAACUCGAUACUAGAACAAAGUAUGACUCUAUAUGUGAAAGUGCGUUAUAUCGACUAGAGGGGGGUGAAUAGGCGAUUUUUAUGAAUUCUUCACUUAGGAAUUUGUGGGUGAGGAAAUUCCUUAGCGAAGAACUACUUGCAGCGGAAUUUGUGGGUGAGGAAAUGAAGACAAGCAUAGAGUACAGAAAGCGUAAACACAUGAUAACACAGGAUGAAGACAAAUAGACUGAAGAAAUUGAAAUGAGGAAAUUGAGAAAGUCUUCUGUCAAAGUCUUCAAACACAGAUAUGAACAAGUGCACAACACAGUUAUGAGGAAAUGAAAGAGUUGAGGAAAUAGAACUAGUUGGCUUGGUGAAGACAAUGAUUUGGUAGACCAGUUCCAACUGCUGUCUCAGUUGUACGUCUGGUUAGGGCGGCUAGGUAUUUAAACCUGAGGACACACAGUCCCGGACACCCAGUCCUGAACACGCAGUCCAGGACACUUAGUCCUCACCGUAUUCCUCUUGAGCUAAGGUCACACAGACCUCGCCUAAUCACUCGUGGUAAGUGUUCAGGUGACUUCCGAACCUUCACAAACUCGGUCACUCGGCGAUCCACAAUUUCCUCUUGGAUGCUCUAGACCAUGAUGCCUAACCGUCUGGAAGAAGCACAGUCUUCAAAGGUAACAAGUGUCGGAUCCACGCAGGAUCAAUCUCUUCAGUGAUGCUCAAUCACUUUGGGUUUGUAGGUGUUUGGGUUUGGGUUUUCCUCACUCGAUGAUUUUUGCUCAAAGUCCUCGGAGGAUGGGAUGCUCUCAAAUGACAAGUGUCAGUUUCUCUCGGAGCAGCCGACCAGCUAGUGGUUGUAGGGGGCGGCUAUUUAUAGCCUAGGGAGCAGCCCGGCAUGAUAAGACAUAAAUGCCCUUCAAUGAUAUGACCGUUAGGUGGAUAAGAUAUUUUGGGACAGCUGGCACGUAGCACAACAACGGUCGGAAAUUUGAGUAUCAAAUUCCUCAGGGCUAUCAUGUUCCUCACUGUGUAGGCAAUCCGCACUGGCGAAUUCCUAACUCCUCAGUCAGAACAAAUUCCUCAGAGACCAGAAGAACUUCGUCUCUGUCACUGAAGAAUAUGACUGAACUGUAUGAGAUUUCCAAUGGCUUCACUCGAAGGGAUUGGUAGGUGUAGGAUUUUGAGUUGAGCAUCACAUGGAAUUUUUUCCUUAGUAUUUCCUCGACCCCCUUUAACAGUACGGUGUUUCCUAUGACUCAAGAAAGAGAAAAUGAAACUACGAAAACAAAAGUCUUCACGCUUCAUGUUCCUCAAAUGAAUACCAAGUCUUCAAGGUCACACCAAUUUCUUCACUUUCAAAGUCUUCAGAAAUCCAAAGUCUUCAGUCGAAGAACUUCAUUUUUAGGGGUUGACUUUCUCUGUAAAUAUCAAACUCCUCAUAGACUUAUAGACCUGUCUACAUUAAUAAACACAUUAGUCCCUUAACCUAUAAGUCUUCAAUACACCAAAAUCACUAAGGGGCACUAGAUGCACUUACAAUCUCCCCCUUUUUGGUGAUUGAUGACAAUAUAGGUUAAGAUUUCAACGGGGAUAAACAUAUGAAGUGUAAAUACUGAUAUUGAGGAAUUUGAUUGCAAGAUAUAGAAGAACCCCCCCUGAAGAUGUGCAUAGUGAGGAAUUUGCUUUUGAAGCAAUGCACACUUGAAGAGUUGAAUCAUGGAGAUCUCCCUCUCUAUCUUGUAAUUCAUACACGCAUUUGACAUAAUAUAUGAAAAAUUUGAAAUGCAUGAUGAAAUAUGGUGACUGAUGUAAUUCAGCAUGCGUGCAAUAAUAUUAACGAGGAAUAAGCAUGCAGAAGAAACAGCAAAAGUAUCAGGCCACCAUAGAGUUUAAGUUUACAACUCGAUCCAACAAGGUCAUCAGAAGAACGAGAGUUGUAACUUUAGAAAAAGACACCCAUAGAAGAUAGACCCGCUUGAAGACUAACUCAAAUUUCUCCUCCUUUGUCAUCAAAUGACCAAAAGAUUCGAAAAUGAGGACUAACGCCCCUGAAGAAUAUCAAGGUGAUGAAGGAGCGUCAGCGUUGUUGGGGUUGUUUGUUGUAGUAGGGCCUGCCGCAGUGUCGUCCAAGUCUUCAUGUUCAUCAGUGUCAUGAGAUGAAGAAUAGGAGCUGGCCACCAAGGAAGGAACCUUGACCUUCUUGUACUUCUUCGGAGGAGGUGCAGCCCAGUCAAAAUCUUCCUUGAGACCCAUUUUCUUCAGAUCUUCUUCACCAUAGAUGUGCGACAGAACAACCCAGGUGCGGUUGAGGGUUUCAUGAAGGUAGUAAUGGUCUUUCUUCACUGCAUUGUGGGUAGCAGUCAUGUUGUGAAGAAUUGAACCAAACUGACGCUUGACCCAUUUGUGAUUGCGAUCAACCUUCUGGUGAAGACUGAGGAGAAGCUCACGGUCAGUCAUCACCCUAGGUGCUGUGCCUUGAGGAUUUUGCUUGCGUGCGUUGGCGGCAGAGUCAUGGGUGGCAGAGUCAUCAUUGGUGGAGUAGGAUGCAGCCUUGCAAAAUUGACCAUCCAAUGGACGAAUGCCUUCAUCAAUUACAGCAGUAGCCUUGCCCUUUUCAUCAGUUGAGGAAAAUGUCCGUUUGAGGACUUCAAUCAGGGGCAAGUAGCUGCAAUGGUUUAGUGUAUCAGCUUUGUAGUUGAGUGAAGACCUUGUUCUGAUGAAUCUCAUAAUCCAUGGUGCAUAAGGCUUCAACUCAAAUGGUGACAUUGCGACAUUGGCCAGAGUCCUCAUGAAGAAAUCAUGGAAGUUGACAGGAACGCCAUGAAUGAUGUUGAAAAGCAGAUUCUUCAUGAUGCCAACGACUUCUUCUUCAUUUGAGUCGUGGCCCUUGAUAGGACUCAAUGUCUUCGUCAGAAUGCGAUAGACAGUCCGAGGCACAUACAACAAUUCCUUCACAAGGAAUUUUGUUCUUGGGGCCUGACCUGGCUUCAAAGGCUUCAUCAACACUUGCAUAUAGUGAUCUGUAAGCUCAGGUUCAUUGUAGACGCAACAAGCACCUUCAAGGGGAGGACUGAGAGGCAAAGAACGAAGCAAUUCAGUAGCUGGUGCUUUGUAGUGAGUAUUUUCAGACAUCCAGUCCAGCACCCAUGAAUUCACAUCUUCAGAGUCUCCAGUGAUGUGCAGAGUUGCAUAAAAUUGAAGAAUGAGCUCCUCAUUCCAAUCACAUAUAUCAGUGCAGAAAUUUAACAAUCCAACAUCGUAAAGAACACUGAGGACUGGCCUGAAGCACGACAGAGAUUCCAUAUCCACGUGAGGAAUGUUGAACAACACUGAGGAAUAGAAAUUUGCCUGGCUGGCAGUCCAGAAACGCCUCUUCCUAAUGCGAGCAGAGUUAUAGGGGUUGUAAUCAGUGAAGAAUACGUGCUCGCCGAAGAAAUCAUCAGCCUUGAAUUUUUGCUUCCUUGAGAAUGGAUCCUUUGGCUUGGGCAGUGGAGUGUCAGUCAGUUGCAUGAUGACCUCAGGAAUCGCAAUCUCAGGUUCUUCAGGCUGAGGAAUUUCUGGUUCCUCUUCAGUGGCAGCCUGGUUCUUCAAUUCUUCAUUUUCAUUUUCUUCAGCACUAGCGGCUGGAAUGUCUUCAUGAGCUUCAUCAGAUCCCAUUUGAACUGUAGUUGCUGGGGACUGAGGAAUUUGUUGCAAUGGAGUGAAGAGUGGAGAAUUGGGGCGCUGACUUUCCCAAAAGUAAUCAUUCAUCACUGGUGUAGUACAGCCGAUGUCCACAUCUUCAUCUUCCAUUUCUUCAACGCCAGCCUCUUCAGCAGUAAACUGAGGCAUGGGUGAGGAAACUGUGGGGGUUGAAGGGAUUUUAUCCACUUCAAUUUCUUCAUCCAUCUGCUCUGAUGAAGCAGCAGAAGGAUUUUCUUCAUCAGAUCCGCUAGGGAUCACAUAUUCUUCAUCAAAAGGGAUGAUUUCCUUUGAUGGCAUGGAGGAAACAGGAACAACAUCAAUUGGAUUAGCAAAUGAGCUUGUCAAUUUCUUCAUCUUCUUCGGUGCUGAAGAAUCUGAAGGAGCUGAUGCUUUCCUUUUCUUCACUACUGCAUGCUCUACAGCCUUGGUCUUCUUCACAUCUAAUGCAGAUGGAAGGAUUGGAGUUGGAGUAAGCACAGGAGGAGCAGAGGAAUGUGGUUGAUUUUCUUCAGGCGCAACUGAUGUAGUUGCCCUGACCUCUUCAUUUUCUUCAGGCGCACCACUAGUGGGUGCCUUGGCAAUUUCAUCAGCGGCUGGAAUGCAUUCAUCAGCCCUGGAACUUACAUUUUCUUCAGCAGCCUGAUUGUCAUCAGCGGUGCUGGCAUGUUCUUCAGUUGGCUGAGCAGAUGCUUCAGCCUGAGGAAUUUCUUGUUGCGAUGGGGCUGCAACAUUUGAGGUGAACAUCUUAGUCAGUUUGACAAACCUGACCUUGGCUCCUUUCCAAUCAGCAUAGUAAGCAUUGAAAUCAUCGUCGAGGACUUUGAUUUCAGACUGGAUCUUUACAAGUUCAUCAGUUGUCAUAGAGACAAUGUUGUUCUUCAGGAUUUUUUCCUUCCUGUACUAUGCUUUCUUGAGCUGCCUGGCCUUCUCAAACUUCCAUUUUUCUUCUUGGAUGAAGGCAGUCAGCAUAUGACUUUGACCAGGAGUCAGCUUGAAGUCAGGCAUAUGAGUGUUUGGGUCCUUGUGCCAGAGAUCAAUGCAGUCGAGGAUCAACUUUGGAUCCAAAAGCAGAGGCACAUUUGUGCCCUUGGCUCUAGCGGCCCUGACUUGCCUAUCUCUAAUGAUUUCAGCAAGUUCUUCAUCAUCAACUUCGUCUUCUUCAGACGGCACUUGGAAGGCGACUUGCUUCUUGUGAGGACUUGGGCGAGAGCCUUGUCCUAUAGUGGUCUUUGUCUUCAGCAGAGAGGGUCCUGUUGAAGAAUUUGGUGCAGCUGAGGAACUAGCUGAAGCUCUUGAGGCAAAAGAGAUGUUUGUAGUCCUUUGGCACGUGGCGAGAUGCACAUGUGCUGAGGAUUUGGUCGGAGCAGCUGAGGACUUUGGAGGAGCGGGAGCGGCGUGAGGAAUUGGCCGUGAGGGCUUAGCUGAGGAAAUUGGCUGUGAGGGCAUUGAAGAAGAGGCACUUGGCUUGUGCGCAGGCUUCUUUGCCAUGGAUUUCUUCGGCCUUACAGAGGCCUCAGCAGCAGCAGCAGUAGAGUCUUCGUUGAAUUUCUUCACUGCUUCCUUAGCCUGUUUGGCCAACUUGGCCUAGCGCUUGGCCCAUUCUUCAGGAAAAUCCUCACCGCGCUUGAUGCUAGUGGGAUCCGCUUCUUGGCCAGGUGCCAAUGGUGGUCUUGAGCAUGGAGGAGUGACAACGAAUUUCUUCAUGUAUUUUGGAGUUACAUACCUGUACUCCAUCCACUCUUUUGCCCAUCUCCUCUCUAUCCUCUGAAUGCACACCUUGCACUGAUUCUUAUCUUCCUCAGGGGGUGUGCAGUACCCAGCAUAAAUGUCCUCAGGAAUUUCAAAGGCAGUAUUGAUUUCAGGCCUCUUUCCUCCUUUCUAUGGCUUCUUUCCAUCAGCCAUUUUCUUCAGUUGAGGAAUUUGAACAAUUGAACUCUCUGAAGAAGUAUGCAGCUUUUCUUCAAGGAACACUGCAAAUGAGUUAAGUUGAUGAGAACCUAGUGAUUCAGCAGCGGACAUGAGUACCUGUGAACAGAGUAUAGUUGCGAGGAAUUUGGAGAGGUCAUAUGCGUUCUCAGAAGGUUUUUCAAAAAGAACAAGUUUUAGGAAUUUGACCAGAUGAGUCUUGAAGAAUUUCACUAAGCGUUCUUUGUCUUAGGUUCCAGAGUUGUAUAGAUCGAAGAUCCACACAAUUGAGGAAUCUUGAAGAAAAAUGAUGCUUAGAGAAACGAAUCAAGAACAGAUGACAUGUGAGGUGUUCAGUGUGUGAAAAAUUUGAAGAACAAACACCUUUGAAGAUUUUGUAGAAAUCAUUUGAAUCAAAGAGGGCAGUAAAAGUAACUUUUAAUUACCCUGGACGAAGAACACGACGAACUGGGAUGUGGAGAAGUGAAGUUCGUCUGUGCAGAUCUUCCACGCCCUAACUCGGCGGAGAAAGACGGCUACGGCGGCGGCGGAGUGAAGAUUUCCGUGGCCGGCGCGAGUACGGCGGCGACGAGGUCGAGGCAGUGAAGCUCUUCCUCACCGGUGACGAUGAAGUAGCAACGGCGCUAGGGUUUGAGAAGCUCGAGCGGGAGAGAGAGGUCGAGCGGAGUAAAAGAAGUGAGGAAGGGGAGAGGGGGUAUUUAUAGCCACGGUGAAAAACUGUUCGCCCGAAGAAAUUGGACGAACGUGCCCCUGACCCUUCUCAUUCUCUUGACAUGUGUCACCCACGUACUGAGAAGUGGAGAUUGUAUUAGAUCAUGGGUGAAUUGAUAAGUAUUUCGUCGGAUGCGGAACAGUUUGAGCGGCAAAGCCGAAAAUUUGGAUAAGAUAAGUUAAAAGUUCCGUUCGCAAAUUCUUCAGCUGACAAGGACACAGUGAAGAUUUUGAACGAGUUUCAAAUAGAACGCAUAUGAAGAAUUUGUGAAUAGAUUGGGUUGAGUAUAGCAUAGAGGGGGAAGGGUCCGAUCACAUUCACUUAGCAGAAAAACCAACUUGAAGAAUUAGNNNNNNNNNNNNNNNNNNNNNNNNNNNNNNNNNNNNNNNNNNNNNNNNNNNNNNNNNNNNNNNNNNNNNNNNNNNNNNNNNNNNNNNNNNNNNNNNNNNNNNNNNNNNNNNNNNNNNNNNNNNNNNNNNNNNNNNNNNNNNNNNNNNNNNNNNNNNNNNNNNNNNNNNNNNNNAUAUAUAUAGCCAAUGAAGAAAAACGACGGAAACAGUGAAGAUUUUGCAAAGUUGAAGAAUAUGAACAACUGAGGAAUUUCAAAAACUGAGGAAAAACUCAAAUUGAAGAUUUUCAACUUUUGUGGUGGCGUGACCCACCGUAUAAGAAUGAUGAUUUCAGACACCGCGUACAAUUGUCGUAGGGUUCUGAGAAUCAAAUUCUUCAUUAAUUUCUUCACACUUAGAGUGUUAUUCUUCAUUGAUUGAAGAAAAACGUUUCUUCAUGUGUUGCACAUCUAAGUCAUCAAUUUUGCAUAAGUGUUAGGAUGAGCGUCCUUUUCAAAGAACAUUCGAAGAUUCUAAGAUAUUUAGCUCACACCACAACUUGCUAAAUCUCUUCUCAUCCAAGGGCUUUGUGAAGAUAUCGGCUAGCUGUUCUUCAGUCUUCACAUGCUCAAUAGAAAUGUCACCCUUCAACACAUGAUCGCGAAGAAAAUGAUGACGAAUCUGAAUGUGCUUUGUCUUCGAGUGCUGAACUGGGUUGUGAGCAAUCUUGAUGGUACUCUCAUUGUCAUAGAAGAGAGGCGCAUUCUUCACGUUGACGCUGUAGUCCUUGAGAGUUUGCUUCAUCCACAGCAAUUGAGCAUAGCAAGAACCAGCAGCAAUGUACUCAGCUUCAGCAGUAGACAGUGAUACGCAGUUCUGUUUCUUCGAGGACCAACAGACCAAAGAUCAUCCGAGGAAAUGACAUGUACCAGAUGUUGACUUGCGGUCCACACAAUCACCAGCAUAGUCAAAGUCAGAAUAUCCAAUGAGAUCAAAAGCCGAGCCCUUGGGGUACCAUAAUCCAAGUGUUGGUGUGUGAGCUAGAUAUCGAAGAAUAUGCUUCACAGCCUUAUGGUGUGAUUCCUUCGGUGUAGCUUGAAAUCGGGCACACAUGCAAACAGUAAGCAUUAUAUCUGGCCUAGAUGCACAUAAAUACAAUAAAGAACCAAUCAUGGAGCGGUAUACCUUAUGAUCGAAGUCAAUACCAUUUUCAUCAGUGCAUAGAUGGCCAUUUGUGGGCAUAGGAAUUUUGACGCCUUUGCAAUCUUGCAUGCCAAAUUUCCUCAGUACAUCCUUGAGGUAUUUCUCCUGAGAGAUGAAUAUGCCAUUGGCUGUUGACGAAUUUGAAGACCUAAGAAGAAUUUCAAUUCUCCCAUCAUAGACAUUUGAUAUUCUUCACUCAUCAUAUAGGCAAAUUCAUCACUAUAAUGUUUGUCAGUACAGCCAAAGAUAAUAUCAUCAACAUAUAUUUGGCACACAAACAAUUCAUCAUCAUAAGAUUUAGUGAAAAGAGUAGGGUCGAGUGAACCGGGUUUGAAGCCUUUCUUCAUGUGGAAUUCCUUCAAAGUAUCAUACCACACCCGAGGGGCUUGCUUGAGGCCAUAGAGGGCGUUAUUGAGUCUGAAGACUUUGUCAGGAUGCUUAGGAUCUUCAAAACCUGGGGGUUGAGCAACAUAUACUUCUUCCUCAAGCUUACCAUUGAGGAAUGCACUUUUCACAUCCAUUUGAUAUAAAGUGAUAUCAUGAUGGUUAGCAUAAGCAAGUAAUAUGCGAAUAGCUUCAAGUCUAGCAACAGGUGCAAAAGUUUCAUCGAAAUCAAUUCCUUCAACCUGUGUGUAGCCUUGAGCUACAAGCCGAGCCUUAUUCCUCACCACAAGGCCAUUUUCAUCUUGCUUGUUGUGGUAGAUCCACUUUGUGCCAAUGAUAUUGUGCUUGCGAGGAUCUGGACGUGUAACCAGUUCCCAAACGUUGUUGAGCUCGAAUUGAUGUAAUUCUUCUUGCAUGGCCUGAAUCCACUCAGGCUCCAGAAAUGCUUCAUCUACCUUAGUGGGCUCUGUGAUAGAGACAAAAGCAUAGUGCCCACAAAAGUUAGAUAAAUGUGAAGCUUUUGAGCGUGUGAGAGGACCUGGUGCUUCGAUGUCAUCGAUGAUCUUUUCAACUUGCACUUCUUUUGCAACGCGAGGAUGAGUAGGUUGUCGUCGAGGAAUUUGAUCAGUAUUUUCUUUAGCACCAUUUUCUUCAGCAAUUUCUUCAAGUGCAUUAGCUCGACGUUCUUCACAUUCUGGAAUGAAUUCUUUAGCAGAUUCUUCGGUAGGAAUGACAUCCUCAGUAGCCUUGAACUUGAUAGUUUCCUCAGGUGAUGGUUCAUCUAUCACAGAGGGUAGGUGCUCUCUUUGCGAGCCAUUAGUUUCAUUGAACCGCACAUCUACAGUUUCAACAACCUUGUGAAGAACCUUGUUGAAGACUCUGUAGGCGUGCGAGUCCUUUCUGUAACCAAGCAUAAAACCUUCAUGCGCUUUCAGUGCAAAUUUAGCAUUGUGAUGAGGAUCUCUAAUCCAACAUUUAGCACCGAAGACUUUGAAAUAACUCACAUUGGGUUUCUUGUCAGUGAGGAGUUCAUAUGCAGUCUUCUUGAAGAAUUUGUGAAGAUAUACUCUGUUGAUGAUGUGGCAUGCAGUAUAAAUUGCCUCAAUCCAGAAGCGACGAGGCGUCUUGUACUCAUCAAGCAUAGUGCGAGCCAUCUCAACAAGAGUUCUGUUCUUGCCUCCACGACGCCAUUCUGCUGAGGAGUGUAAGGAGCGGAUAACUCAUGAGUAAUACCAAGUUCAUGAAGAUAGUCAUCAAGACUAGAAUUCUUGAACUCAGUUCCAUUGUCACUUCUGAUGUGCUUGAUCUUCACACCAAAGUUGGUUGAAGCCCUCGAGGAAAUCGUUUGAAGACUUCCUGCACUUCAUGUUUGUAAGUAACAAUGUGUACCCAUGUGUAUCGAGAGUAAUCAUCAAUAAUAACAAAGCCAUAGAGAGAUGCAUCAUUUGUGACAGCCGAGUAAUGAUUAGGACCAAAGUCCAUGUGAAGCAAUUCGAAUGGUUGAGUAGUGGUCAUGAUAGUCUUCGCUGGAUGCUUAGCCUUGGUCAUCUUUCCAGCUUCACAAGCUCCACACAAGUGAUCCUUGAGGAAUUUGACAUUCUCAAUGCCAAUGACAUGCUUCUUCUUCGCAAGCGUGUGCAAAUUCCUCAUGCCUGCAUGACCAAGUCGUCGAUGCCAUAGCCACCCUUCUGAAGCUUUUGCAAGUAGGCACACGGCUGGUUGCGGUCCUGUAGAGAAAUCAACAAUAUACAAGUCUCCUCUCCUAAAGCCUUCGAAGACUUUGGAAUUGUCAGCUUCCAUAAGCACAACACAACGAUACUUGCCAAAGACAACUACCAUAUCAAGAUCACAAAGCAUUGAGACAGACAUAAGGUUGUAUCCUAAGGACUCGGCAAGCAUGACUUUGUCCAUGUGUCGAUCCUUUGUGAUCGCAACCUUACCUAGACCCAAUACCUGACUUUUGCCUUUGUCAGCGAAGAUGAUAUGCUUCAGAUGCGAUGGUGAUAAGGGCGCAUGUGAUGCCCGGAUAAUCAAGCUACAGUAACCUCUGCUAGUGAUGCCACGUCACGUCGAUUACUGUUGCUAAUCUCGCGUUAGUUCAAAACCGAUUCAAAAUUCAAAAUUCAAAACCAAGUCAAACAAUUAAAGUUUUCAAAAGUCAAAACUAAAAUAUUCCAGGUGUGACAAAUAAUACCUAGAUAAUAAUGGUGGAGAAACCAACAUCCUUAAAAAUGUUUGAAUGUCCUAACAUAAAUAAAACAGUGGCAAAACAAUUAAUUAAAUGCCUUUUACCAUUUAUAAAAUAUCAAACUAUUUUAGUUAGGAGUGAAACUUGUUGUGGCAGUGGGUUAAACCAUAAGACUAAUUUAGAAACUACCUUCCUAAUUUAUAAAACUAAGAUAAAUAGAAAACAAAAUAGAAAACUACAAAAAAAGAAAAGAAACAAACAAAAAAAAAA
rnacentral:lncRNA from 1 species